rnacentral:piRNA from 1 species
UAAAGAUGUAAUCGGUGUAGA